GCCCUAAAAGCAUAACCUCACUCCUCUUAGGGUUGUUCAGAGAGAGGAAUGGAAACAAGCGAAGUGGUUGCGGCUGCUGCGCCGGAGGCAGGGCUGAAGCACAAGCUGGAGCGAAAAUGUACGUUUUGGUGCGACAAUCAAUCCAAACCUAAACAGCUUGGGGAACCUCUCUGCGCAGGACGAGUUAGUUCUGCUGGAAACAAGUUGAGAAUGUCACUGAGUCUGCCAGGGGUAGCUGUGGUGAGCUGUGCAGACAACACUGUGGUAGCCUAAGAAUCUUUAUAUCAUAUUGGUGAAAGAAAACAGGCUUUGCCUCAGCAGAAAGCAACAUCAACACCCAAAGCAGACAGAAACUUGCAAUAGAGAACCAGUGAACGACGGAGUUGUUACCCAGGUGUGUUGUGUUUUAAUCGAUACCUAGAAACGAACAAAUCUGAUGCCAUUUUUUUUCUUUUUCUCUGGUUCCAAACUUGUGAUUUUACGUGAGUUGAGAGUGUUUGCUCUAGUUUACGUGAACGUACUAAAAAGAAUCACGUGAGAGUUAAAUAGGUUCGAGGGCAUGGCUAAUGCAUUUUUAGUGGCUUUAGAACUUGUUCUUUAAAUGGGAGGAUUCAAAUCUUGCUGGUUGAGCAGCACAUAUCCUAUUAUUCAUGAGGAUAUGUGAGCUUGAUAUAUUUAACCAGCUAGAUCGAUGCAUGCUAUCGAAUAUAUCGAGUUGGAUUUCUCAUGGGAUCUUACUUUUCGCCAUUCGGUACAUUGU